AGGGGUCGGAGUGUGUGUGUGUGUGUGUGGGGGGGUGUCCGUGUUUGUGAUCUGAACCUUUGGUACCUACAAGGAGGGUGUCUCACCGAACGGUAGCUAAAACCUCACCAGGACCGCACGGAACUGUGGAGACACAGCCGAAGGCGCCGCCGGAGCUUCAUAUCUGGGCCGGACCCCAGACCCAGCGUUGCAAGGAUCCCCCCGCCCGGAUCACAGAUGAUGGCCAUGCCUCCAUUGGAAAAUUUGCAACUUUCACUAGAUUUCACUUGCUGGUACUCCCAACUGUCUGGCUCAUUGAGCACUGGGCAGAGCGGUGUUCUUUCAAUGUCCAACAUCUGGAAACAGGUGUGAGCUCUCAUCAGGGUCCUGUCUCCACUGUGGGUAUCUGUCUAAACUCCCUUCUCUUCAGGCAUCGCAUAUAAGUUGCGACCUGGGCCUGGAAGUGAGGAAUAUGCUUCGGUCUGCACUUGUGCUAAAACCACGGACAGCAGUGACGUCAAAUCUUGAGGCUACCGUGUGAAUCAGAAGUUUUUCGCUGAUGGGGAUUGAUGGAUUGGUGGAAGCGCUGGUGACAUGAGAAUCCGUUUCUAA